rnacentral:tRNA from 1 species
GGGACCGUGGGGUAACCUGGUAACCUUCGAGCCUUGGGUGCUCGUGCUCUUAGUUCAAAUCUGAGCGGUCCCA